AUGAAAUUAAGAUGUGCUCUUCAAAUGCUUAAGCCGGAUGGUGAAGGGGAGGACUUCAUAGAAAAGGUUCACUACACAGAAGACUACCUCCAGAAGUGCAUUAACCAAGAUCAUGAUGCAUUGCCAAUCAAGCUUGCAGAUGGCGAGGUCUCCAUCAUCUCUCGCCUCAUCACAGGGAAUGACAGGAUGACCACCAUCACAACCAACUGGACAGAGUUCCGCUGUCAUGCAAACAUGCAUGAGGGUGACAUAUGCGUCUUCUACUUCAAACACAAGGCAAGGUGUACCGUUGAUGAUUGCUAUUAUCUCCUAUAA
rnacentral:rRNA from 1 species